UCGAAAUCGGUAGACGCUACGGACUUAAAAUCCGUCGACUUUAUAAGUCGUGAGGGUUCAAGUCCCUCUAUCCCCA
rnacentral:tRNA from 64 species